GUAAGUUGCUUUGGCUGCAGUGAGAGUUACUUCCAUGCUCAGCCAAGCUUGCAUUUUUUUCUCAGUGCAUCUUUCAUUCUGAACAUCUUAUGUUUACUUUUUGAGGUAACUGCAACCUCUGUCAUGCUUUAUCUCAGAAUGCAGUUUUGGACCAUCUACCUCCAAGAAAAGCUACUCUACGCACAACAGCCCUGCCAGGCUGCAGCAUGAGCUACCAAAUUGCUGCUGCUGCUCAAGUGCCUCUGUGCCAUGCGCCACUGGAUGGCCAGGCUUGGUGUCUACAAGCAAACCCCUGGGCUCGCUGUUCACAGCUCCAGCACCAAGGCUUAACUGGAGAAGGGAUUCCACAAGAGAAGCCAAAACUGUUUAUUAGAACCAGGAAUCACUGGGCUGACUUGCCAAAUCAGACUAAGAGUUUAUAUGGCCGUUAUGAGGACUUAGAAUAAAGCACGUGGACGUGCAAGACAUUGCCUUGUGAUCAGAGCUGAAAGUUAGCCUUGUCCCCUCUAUGGGCCCUGUUUUGUUUCUGAAGAUUUCCUCUGCUUUUUUCAGCUUGAACUGGGAACGGUUUAAACAUCUCUGCUGGGAGGUGAAUGGUGAAGCCCAAGCUCAGUGAAGCUGCUGUGUUUAGACUGAGUGUGGCCUGUGAUGUGGCUGCUGGUGCUGGAACCAAGCUGAUUGUCCUCAAAUGAGCUCCUCUUGAGUUACGGUAACUCAAGCAAUUCUGACUUUAUCCUAGAUGCCAGCCCUCAGCUAUUCCUGGAAUUAGAGUCUAGGCUAAGAGUGUAUGGUUUAAUAGAAAAAACAUCUAUAGCAUCUCCAAUUUUUUUUUUUUCAUUCUAAAGAAAUGUUAAUUUUUCUAAUUUCUGCUGAUUUUUCCCGUGGACCCACUGACUCUCCCACACAUUCUGCCUUAUGAUAGAAGCGCUUUUGUGAUGAAAGAAAGUAAGGCCUAUUCAUGGGAAAAGGUAGGUAGUCUGAAUGCUUCAAAGGAUCAUCUUGUAAGUAGCUUGUCUUUAUUGCUUCAUAGUACACAUAUGAGUUGCAGUCCUUGCUAAUCUGGUUGAUGCAGAGCUAGGGAUGGUAUGCAGUGAUAUUGAUAGAUUAUCCCUGUGGCUAAAGACUGAGAAUACCCCAUUACUUCUGUUUGAGAAUCUCAGUUACGUUCUCAUCAAAACAUCCCCAUUUUCUCAGGAAUUUCUGUACACUCAGCACAAAAUGCUUGCACAAUAGGCACAGUGACUCCUGCAACUAUUGUUUACAGUGUGCUGGCUAAUCCUUUCUGUGAUCCAGGCGGUGCCUACUGGGUUUGGCUUUUGACUGGGAUUAGAAACUGGUGCUGAUGCAUACUGCCAUGCUGCCUGGGGACCUCAGCAGGAUUGUGGCCACACUGUGCCAAGCAGCAUACAAACCCAGAGUUCAGAGCCUAUGGUUUGAGCAUCUUCCCUCUAAUUGUGCAUUUGACCCCCUUUCUCCUUCCAGCCCUUAAGUAAAACAUCUAAUCCUGUUCCAUUCCCGUAUCUUUUCAGGGAUUUAUU